rnacentral:tRNA from 1 species
ACCUGGCUGGCUCAGUUGGUAGAGCAUGUAACUCUUGGUCUCAGGAUCAUGAGUUGGAAUCCCAUGUUGGGCA